rnacentral:lncRNA from 11 species
GGGCAUGACCUCCCUACUGCCUCUCCAAGGACACGACCAUAAUGAGCUACUCGGUACCCCUCAAUGCCAAUAUCUUAUCAAGGGAGUUGGGCUCUACGGCUUCAUGCUCAGUGUCUGCUGGCACCUGACACGGCUGUUGCUCAUCAAGACAUCGAUUGUGCUGGUGACACAGAAGUUCUAUAACAGACGUCACCAGCUGGGCUUCUUCAAGAGUGCCGACCACAAGCAAGGGGCAGAUCCGGGCCAGAACGGCAAGGACUUGGACUGAGGUGACCAGGUGCCUUGGGUCCUCAAGGUGCCAGAAAAGGAGCAAGGUGGCCCCCAAAACCCCUUGGCCUCUCAGCAAUGCAAAGACACACCUCUGCCUGGGGACACACUCCUUUCCAGAGGAAAAUGUCACAUCUACAAGGGGAAAGGGAGAGAGAUAUCAGAGGAAGUGUCAUUGAGGAGGAGAAGCCAAAGAAGGAAUCUCCUGCAAAAGGUGGGAUGCAUACCACUCCAGAUGAAUUAUUCUGCAGAAGCAUUCAGCAUGGCAAGCGGACAACGCAGCAAGCGGACCCUUUCAGCCAAGACCUGUCUGGUAUCACAUGUUUUGCAGUUAUACGUUUCCAGGUAAUAAAAUUUCCCUGCUCUUGCGGAUGGGCCUGGAGGGAUGAACCCAAGAGCGUUUGCAAAGCGAGAGAACGUCCUAAAGGAAAGGCAGGAUCAUGACACACAGAGCAAACUGCGUUUCGCCUCUGAAUCCAGAAGGUUCCACAGUUGGCCAAGGACCCAAGCCAAAGACCUUCCUUCUGCACCUGAGACCAGUCUCCUCUGAAGG